rnacentral:tRNA from 1 species
GGGUGUAUAGCUCACUGGUAGAGUGCAUGCCUUGCAUGCACAAGGUCCUAGGCUCAAGCCCCAGUACCUCCA